UACAGAGGGUGCAAGCGUUAAUCGGAAUUACUGGGCGUAAAGCGUGCGUAGACGGUAGCGUAAGUCGGGUGUGAAAGCCCCGGGCUCAACCUGGGAAUUGCAUUCGAGACUGCUCUGCUAGGGUGCGGAAGAGGGAAGCGGAAUUUCCGGUGUAGCGGUGAAAUGCGUAGAUAUCGGAAGGAACACCAGCGGUGUAGACGGCUUUCUGGACCAUUGCUGACGCUGAGACACGAAAGCGUGGGUAGCAAACAGG
rnacentral:rRNA from 1 species